AUUGAACGCUGGCGGCAGGCCUAACACAUGCAAGUCGAACGAGUGGCGGACGGGUGAGUAAUGUCUGGGAAACUGCCUGAUGGAGGGGGAUAACUACUGGAAACGGUAGCUAAUACCGCAUAACAUCAGAUGUGACCAGAUGGGAUUAGCUAGUUGGUGGGGUAACGGCUCACCAAGGCGACGAUCCCUAGCUGGUCUGAGUGGAUGACCGGCAAUACUGGAACUGAUACUCGGGCCAGACGCCUACGUGAGUCAGCAGGGGGGAAUAUUGCACAAUGGGCGCAAGCCUGAUGCAGCCAUGCCGCGUGUAUGAAGAAGGCCUUCGGGUUGUAAAGUACUGUCAGCGGGGAGGCGUUACCCGCAGAAGAAGCACCGGCUAACUCCGUGCCAGCAGCCGCGGUAAGUC
rnacentral:rRNA from 1 species